rnacentral:lncRNA from 1 species
GGGGCCAGACCCAUACGAGAGUUUGAAAGGGCCACCUUACCGGCCUAACGUGCCAGAAGGGACCCAACAGCCCCACCACGCAAACGAAGCCCCGUCUAUAAGACUACAUCCAUCUCUAUUUGAAAAGGGGAAAAAAAAAUCUUUCUCACCAUACCAUAAAACCCCACACCUCCUCCACUCUCUCUCUCUAGAGUGAGAUCUUUUCUCCUCUUCUCCGAUGGCCCCCGCCUCUGUUCCCCUGAAUGACCAAACUGCCCCGGCCCCGCCGGCCCGUCCCGCGCUAGCUCGGAGGGCAUUUGGGUCAAUGUAGGGGCGCUGGACAUGGUGGAGCGAUAGAAGGCAGACAGGAUGGAGCCAGGCAUUCGAGAGAGGAACCACGGCGGCUUCCAUGGGGGAGAGAUCCAGCGAGGACGACGCACACCAUUCGCCGUACACCGAAGCUCGGUGUCCCUCGCAUGGUGUUUAUCUAUCUGUACGCACAUGGGAUCUAACGGUCCAUGAUGAUGUAUCACCUCCUCUCCCUUACUUUCCCCCCAACUUUUUUUUUUUUUUUUUUUUUUUGUAGUCUGAUUAUUCUUCUUUCAUGUAUGUUAUGUAAUCGUCGAAUAUACCUUAAUUUUUUUUUUAUGUCACUUUUAAUGGGGAUUGGAUAUUUGGAUUCCAUUGUGCUCUAAUAUUUUUGGUUAGUAACUUGUUAUGGUGGAUUUAUAGGAGUGGUAUUUGAUUGGUGUUGUUUAAUUAAUGUUCUUGGCUGUUAUGCUUAUUUAUUUGCUAAUUAUGGCAGCGAAGGGGUUGGUUUGUUGCUUGUUUAGUAAAUGUUGGCUUGGGGCUUUUGAUAAUAUUCCUAGAUAUGAUUGGAAUGAAUGUUGUUUCUUUGAAUUCUGAUUUGCGUUUUUUGUUUGUGUACAUUAUUUAAGUUGUUCAUUCUGAUUCACAAAUGAAAGGGGUAACGCAUUAUAUCCUUCUAUGAUCGUCCCUUUUAAGCUUCUCUUGUUCAUGAGGAGAAUUAUUAUUGAAACUGUUAUUUUUUCACUUGUUUAAUUUGAUUUUUAAUGUUUAGCAGAAAUUUCUUGUUUUACUCGACAAAAUAUUCUUUUCUUUUGAUUUUUUUAACAAAAAAUUCUUCAAUAAUUUUGUCCAAACUGGUUAUAUAUUCUCUUCAUACUAACGUUUGUUUUUCGUGUCUUUGUCAAUCACGUUGACUAAUGUUUAUGGCAGCAUUGUCCAAUAUGAUAUUUGUAAUAAUUUCUUUUUGUACUUUUUUUUUUGGUUAUCAGUUUAGCAUUGUUGUAGCAUCAAUUCCUUGUUUGAUGUUUUACUCAAAAAAGAUUCUGUUCUCUUUUUUUUUUUUUAGCAUAAAUUCCUUCUGUACUUUUUGUCCAGAUCGGUGAUAUUCUCCUCCUCCUGAUAUGUUUUUUUCCCACAUGAACAUUCUUAUCGACAAAUGUCUCUGGCAGCAUAAUUGAAUACUCAGGCAUUGGUAAACUAGUUGACCUUACUAGUCGACAGCCUCUUGUGAGAUUGCAAACUGACCCAUAUUGCAGCACUAUCUCCUUAUUGCUUAAAUCUAGUCACUCUAUCUUUUCUAUGCAACCCCGAUAUGCAUAAUGAUAUAUUGCCUAAAGUAAUAAAUGUGAGUUUCAGCAUCUUAGAUGAUGAUUUUGCUAUGAUUAUCAUAUGACAAGAAUGUGGGGUGAUUUGGCUCUCUUACUCCCACCUUCAUUUUUUGUGUGUCUAUGGCACUUGCAUUAGCAAGGGGAAUCUGUGAUCUUUAUCAAACUUAACUUGGUAAUGACAUAUAUUGAACUUGCUUGAUAGAUUUAUGAUCAUAUUAUAGCUAGAAUAGCAUCUCCAUUUUAAGUGUAGAGGUUCAGUGAAUGGUUCUGUUUAUUCCUCUUGGUUUGUUAUCUUGAGUACUAGACUUCUAUUGGCUUUUCUAUUAGCUUUUAAGGACUUGACAUGAUAAUCCCCUUUUCCUUAUCUUUUUCUUCUUGCCAAUCUUGGAGCAAAUAUUCAAUAGGAUGCUGGAGCAAGGGUCGUUUUCAAACUUCACCUCUAUAAAACUAUUUCUCGGUUGCCUUUUUGAAUGAUACCAGCUUCCUUUGCAAACCCUUCUUCCAUACAUGUAAUGCUUGUGUUGCUCUUCUUUGUGUCAAUCUUGUGAAAAAUAGAAAUACUCAAGCCUUAUCUGGUGUUCAAUUGGAAGAUAAAGUCAUUUUCUUAAUUGCCUUAUGACUUUAGAAAAGAGCAAGAUAGAUGUUGGUGGAUGGCAACUUUGGAUGCCACCUUGUACCAACAAAAGCCUAAGAAGUUUGAUAGAGAAUUGAAUGGAGAAAGACUUAGCCUCUUGGAAAAGGAACUAACAAGGUCCAUAAUCUGGAUACUGGAUACCAUAUUGGUAUCUUACUAGUUUGGUACGGCACGACAUGCACUCUAUACCGUUAUAGCUCUCUAACUUCUUUUUUUAAUUUUUGUCUUGGUGUGCCUUGAUAUAGAUUAGCACGCUUCUAUACAAGAUGAUACAUACCUCAAUACAUUUCGGUAUGCUUCGAUAUGCCUCGGUGUAGGUUGGUAUGUCAUAGUAUAGGAUAGUAUGGUUCGGUAUGGGGCGGUAAGGGCUUAUAUUGGCUUGAAGUUGAAUUUCAUGCUAAUUUUCUCUCAGUAUGGUGUGGUACAUCCUGUACUAAAUGGUAGCAACGGUACGGCAAACCAUGGGAACUAGCAUUGUUUGGUGGGUAUCCUUGUUUUGGUUCAAUCUACCCUUGCUAUUAUUCCUGUAUAUUCUUUUAGCAUUUAAGUUUUGCUCAUGAAUCACUUGGUGAUCUUAUACAUGCAUUCUUUGGGGAGAGUGUGGUGAAUUAGAUGAGCUUUAAAUUGGAAACUUGAGAAGAGUUUUGUGUACUUGAGGGUCUUGUUGUUUCUAGUUUAAAAUCUCAAUCAGCCUUAUGUGGUUCUUUUGCAUUCGUGAUGUUGCAAAAACUAGAAACCUUGUUUGGAUCUCUCAUUGUUUACAAGUAUCGAACUUCUGAGGAAAGUGUUAUUGAAGGUCACUAGUGUGUGCUGAAGGAAUCUAUUGCCAUUCUGAAGUCAUGGAAGGCCAUAUAACACUUUGAGUAGGUCUGCCCUGAGGCUGCAACAUUUAUGGAGACAAGAAUAUUGUUUGGGCUUGAAGAGAGAGGGUCAGAAAUAAUCAUAGGAUUGGUGGCACUUGACGAGGUUUCUUUGGCCAUGGAGAAGGAAAAAAAACUUGGAUCGUUGCUUAUUUAAGCAAAGUGCUGUGAUAACAUAAAGGAAUUAUUGAGGCUGAAUGUUUGAGGUAAAAGGCUGCACAUGAUUUAUCCAUUGCUUGUAAAUUUAUAGUAUAUAGGACCAAUAUUAUUGAAGGAAAUAAUUUACAAAAAUGAUAUAUUUUCAUAAUGUAAAGGAAAGAUUUUGAGUUGUGGCACUAUAUGCAAGAAUCCCUUAUUCAGCUUGAUUCUCCAUGAUUCUUGCCGAUAAAGAAAGUUUUAUAAUUGUUAUACAAUAUGCAAGAUUCUUUUAGUCAAUGUGAUUCUCUAUGAUUCUUGGGCUAUAUAAUUCUUUCCAAUAGGAAAAGAUUUUGAACUGUUGCACUAUAUAUAAGAAUAUCUUGAUCAAUGUGAUGCUCCAUAAUUCUCACUUUGCAAUGGUAAGCGAUGAUUCUCACCAGUAUGUGCCUAGGGUUUCAAGGGGAUUGUGUUUUCUGUGGGUCUAGUGCCUGGUAAAGAAUUAGCCUCCUAGGAUGGUGCUCAUAUUCCUUGUUGGAGGAAUAAUUGGUACCAUAGUCUCUCUCAGUGUGAAUUUCCUUUUUCAAGUUUUAUUUUUUCAGUUUCUUCUUAAUGCUACUUUCAUGCUUGUGGUUAAAUGUGGCUAUGAAUUACCUGUAUAAGAUUUUUUUUGAUUUAUUUUUGGUGGGUUGGUAAUCUGUGAUAGGAAGAUACCUGCAUAUGAUUGCAAAUAAAACUGAGAGUACAACUUUUAUGUGGCAUUUUCUAGUUAAGAACUUAUUGACUAGGUUUUUUGAAACCCAGACCUGGUCAUACUUUUUGGUUUCAGAAGACUAAUUUGUAGUUUCUUUUUCCCAUUAAUGAGAAAUCUAAAGUAGAAAAAAUCAAAAGAAUAAAGGAGAUUGGAUUCAGAAAAGCUAUCUUCUCAUUUAUGAUGCCAAAUAACUCAGAUUUAUAUGAACCUUCUGAGGACAUUGGGAAAAAAAUUUUACUUCACUAAUACAUCAUUUCAAGGAUGUCUUCAUCUCCUCUCCAAGAAAGAGGUCUCAGGUUCAGACCUCAAAAGCAUUGAAUAACCACUGCAUUCUCAACAAAGAAAAAAUGCCGUACUUCAUCUGACAUUAGUGCUAGAUUAGAUGCUCGAAUUUUUGCGGUUAUCAGAUAAUUUUGCUAACACUGGGGAAUGUUUGAAGUUUAUUCUUCAGCCUAUAGCUUAUACCUUAGAAAAGGCUUAAGUUUUGUGUAUCAAAUGUUUCUUUCUGUUUCUACUGUCUUUCCAAGUCAAUGAAAAUCAUAGAUGAUUGUUCUCUGGUUGAAUCGCAUGUUGACUUUCCCUGUUUCAUGGUCCAAUUUAAUGUUAUUUGCUCCCUUUUAUGUUGGGCAAAUCUCGUUUGCCCUUCCUUUAAUCAAGUCAACAAGUCAAUGUCAUGACACAUAAAGCAACUCAAAGUACGUCUCCAUCACUAUAUCCUAAUAUAUUUCUAUAUUGCAACGCUUGAGCUUUUGCUUAAUGCUCUUUAUUUUUAACUUUAUCCUUUCAAAAUUUACCACAACUACCUUGGUUCAAUUUUUUUUAGUGUACAUCCUGUGCUUCUGACUUGGACCUCUUUGCUCUGCCCACCACAUAUAUUUAUAUGGCAAAGUUGGUAGAAAUUCCCCUUAUCAAGUCUCAAUAGACAUUUUAGAGACUGUCCGCUACAUUAAUCUUCUGUAGAAUCCUCUAUGAGGCAUUGUGUAAAUUAUUUCAUCAUCUAAAUAGUCAAACCAAUUUAAUCAACUACAUUAUCUCUGUAACUCUUCAUCACCUUUACAAUAAAACCAAGUUAGCAAAGGUGAGCCAUCAUAGGGUACAUUCUCUCUAAUGAUACCAACAGUCUUCUGUACUAGAGGGUUCCUUUUUAUGACGUUACUUUCAGUAAUAGGGUUCAUUGUUUCUGAAUAUAUAUCUGUUCAGCUCGACCUACUGUUUCAUUCUGCACUUUGGGUCGCAGAAUGUUCUUCAAGAUUCCUGGCUUAUGGCAGAAAUUGUUGGUUAUGGAGUCAAGCAUCAUGAGGAGGUAAAAGGAUAUUAUUUUGAUUGUGUUAUUUUACAUGGUAUGAAUAUUUCUCAAACACAAUCAUCUUUUCGAUACUUGUUUUUCUGUCUUUCAAAUUAUAUUCAGUAUCUCAUUCUUAGUUGCCAACAGCAUCAGAUUAUGAAUUACAUUGAUUGCAGUCCUUGUGUCCUAUAGAGGGAGGGAUGGAUGGAUGGAUGUAUGGAUAGACACACACACACACACACACAGAGGGAGGGGAAGAGAGAGAGCUUAAUGGUCCACACAUAUGAGGUUGAAUGUGUGCAUGUCCUAUUGUUUCCUUAUCUGUUACUUUACUGCAUAAUUAGAUGAUUUGAUAUUCCUCCAGUAAAUGCUCAUGAUCAACACAUGUCAAUUCUAGCCUUAAGACUGAUGUAAUGAGUCCCUUUUUUUAAUAUCUUAUUCCAUUAAACUUACUCUCAUUUUUUUAGCUGUAUCAUGCUUGUCCUUAAACUACUUUUGUAGCUAAAUAUCUGUUGGGCAUAUUAUUGAUCCACCCUGUUUGGUGUCAUUCAAAAUAGUCACAGAACCCAUACUUUCUAGAACCAUGCUAACAAUCUCCUUCUCCUUUCAGGGAAACCUUUCUGCCAUGGCAGUCUGUUAGCCAUAUAGUCUUUCUUUCCCAUCUUGUCCAGUUCUGCGCAUCUAGAAUUUUUCUCCCUUUUCUUUUCUUUUAGGUUUGCCUGAUGCUUUCUCUCCAAUGUCAAAAGAUUAGUCUUUAUCUCAAUCUACAGAAUCUUUUGACUCUGCAAUUGCCACCAUAUGAAAUUCAAACUGUUACACUAAAAUGCUGCCUAAAUUAGUUUCCAUAUCACUCCAAAUCAUUGGUCAUGGUCUAUUACCUUCACUGUUUAUUGGAUUGCUAAAGGUUCAAAGAUGCUUGUUCCAUCAUGAUGGGACAUCCACCGCAUGGAGCACUGGAAUUUUAUCUAGUUGUCAAAGUGAAUUCCAGUCGUAAAGUACAGGCAAUCAUUGUUUGUAUGGUAAGAACCAGUGAUAUUCUUGAAGGAGCAUCUCUAACAUCACAGGUUCUUCUAGAUAUCAAAUUAGUAGCAUGUUUUCCAGAUAAUGAUUUCCAAUUUGUUCUACCAUUUUGAGAAUUAGAGUGGUGUUCUUCUAGCAUCUAGUGUACUGAAGAUAACUUGUCCUGUUACCUGUAGAGAAGAAUAAGGGGAUUCGUUUUUCUUGAAUUGUGUUUCGUAUACUAUCACCAGGCAUGACUUCGCUCAAGUGAAAUCCUGCUGCUAGACUAGUCCAGUAGAAAAAUUUAUACCAAUAAAAAUAUGUUUGUUUGGGGAGUAUUGAAUUUUAGGAUAAAAAUCAGUAACUCUGAUUCCAACUAUUUGAUUAAGGAGAAUUUCAUCUUAUUUUAAUUUUUAAAAAAAUAAAAAUAUCUUAAUUUUUUAAAAUUUAAUUUUUAUUUUUUAUAAUAUUUAAAUUUUAUUUUAAUUUUAAUUAUGAACUAAAUAUAUUAGAAGGUUCGAUUAUUUUUAUUUUCGUUUCAAUCUAUUUUAAUUUUAAUUUUAAUUUUAACUAUAAUUAUGAAUCCAAUGCAUUCUAAAAUUAUUGUCAGUGGUUAUUACUGCAUGUGGUUGCAGGAUGUGAUGUGACGUUGGUGUAAUUGUGCGAUAUGUGUGGAAACGCUGUCACGCAUAAAUCAUUAAUGAUUGCCACUGUUGAAGUGAUGUUUGAUGAACCUCUAAGACUACGUUGUUGAAUAUUUUCUUCCUGCAUGGAAAAUGAAUUCGGAUAAGUACUACUGACUGACGCUGAUUACGGUAAUCAGUCCUUAUGGCUUUGAAUACAGCAUUAUCAAUUCCUAAAUUUGGAAUCUUGCUUGUCUUUAGUUAUAUAUGUGACAAAGUUGUCAUGAAUAUUAUAAAACAUAUGGUUCCACUCAUUGACUACCAUUCAUGCACAUAGUGCAAUCAGAGACGG